CAGUAGCCACGGUAAUACAGAGGGUGCGAGCGUUAAUCGGAUUUACUGGGCGUAAAGCGCGCGUAGGCGGUUACUCAAGUCAGAGGUGAAAGCCCGGGGCUCAACCCCGGAACUGCCUUUGAAACUAGGUGACUAGAAUCUUGGAGAGGUCAGUGGAAUUCCGAGUGUAGAGGUGAAAUUCGUAGAUAUUCGGAAGAACACCAGUGGCGAAGGCGACUGACUGGACAAGUAUUGACGCUGAGGUGCGAAAGCGUGGGGAGCAAACAGGAUUAGAUACCCGAGUAGUCCCUGUCUCUUAUAC
rnacentral:rRNA from 1 species